CAAAGUACAACGGGGAGCUCCUGUUAGGGGCUGAGAAAGGGCUAGUGAGCACCUGACCCGCUAAACCUGCUCGGGGUAAUGCCCGCGAAGGGAAAAGCCGUGUGUGCUGUU
rnacentral:ncRNA from 2 species